rnacentral:rRNA from 1 species
AUUGAACGCUGGCGGCAGGCCUAACACAUGCAAGUCGAGCGAGCGGCGGAGGGGUGAGUAAUGUCUGGGAAACUGCCUGAUGGAGGGGGAUAACUACUGUAAACGGUAGCUAAUACCGCAUACCAUCAGAUGUGCCCAGAUGGGAUGAGCUAGUAGGUGGGGUAACGGCUCACCUAGGCGACGAUCCCUAGCUGGCCUGACAGGAUGACCAGCCACAAUGGAACUGAGACACGGUCCAGCCUCCUCCGGGAGGAAGCAGUGGGGAAUAUUGCACAAUGGGCGCAAGCCUGAUGCAGCCAUGCCGCGUGUGUGAAGAAGGCCUUCGGGUUGUAAAGCACUUUCAGCGGGGAGGCUUUACCCGCAGAAGAAGCACCGGCUAACUCCGGUCCAGCAGCCGCGGUAAUAC